GUGCAAAAAACAUUUUGACAAUCCUACAUGAUACUCUAACUUUCCCCUCAAACAAACAUGCAUUUCCUGAUCUGAGUUGGAAAUUUCCUCUCAAGUAGUGUUUGAUGAACUGAACAAAGAGCAUUAUGCCUAACCAAAGGAAUCUAAACCUCCCCUGGUGAAACUCGAGUUCAUCUCCUUGUAUCAUUUCACUAGACACCUAUGAAAAGGGGCUGACACCCUCCUCACUGCAACCUCCUUCCAGGGACUUAAAAGGCAACAGAGAUGUGACAUCUGAAAUCAGUGAUGAAUGAGCUACUGAUGAACACAUCCAGGACCUCUGGAAGCCAUUCUCAUCCAGCCCAGUAAUACUGCCAUUAUUUUGUUUCAGAGAUCAGUAAAUGUAAUCAGUGUGAUAAAGGAUUUUCAAUGUUAAAACACCUAAUUUCAAUCUUAUUGAGAAAUGAUAUGUCAUUUUAGGCAUAUCCAGAAGUGCUAUAAAGAAAGCAGGUCAUAAAAAAGAAAGGAAAAAAAUUGCAUUAAUCCAGAAAAGCAAACAGAAAAAUCUUAAUCUGAUCAAG
ensembl:lncRNA